CCCCCGAGGCCUCACAACCGCCCACUACGCGCGAUGGGGGAUGGGGGACCAGAUCCCUCAGACUCCCUCGCUCGUGUCUGCGAGAGCGCGUGGGAACGUAUCGGCUCGUCUAUCAUCCCGUUCUUUCUUCCAAACGCCAUAUCGUUCGUGAUAAAGGGGAACUGUUCGUGUGUGUAUUGCAAAAAUUGUAAAUUGAACUUUUGCGCCAGAGAAAUAUCGUUUGUAAGAUGACAUGCAGGAUAAGGGAUCUCGCCUUCUUCUAGACCGACAAUUGGCUCAGCCGCAACAGGUGCUACCGCGAUCGCCAACACCUUUAAAACCCCUAAGUCCUUGCCCAGGUUCGCCGAAUCUUGAUUCGCUAAACAAUUCAUCCAUUAUUAAAAUGAAAGCCGCAAGUCACAGCCAUUAUACAGGACACCCUGUAUAUAUAUCGACAAAUUGGCAAUAAAUAUCUUUUAAAGAUACGAUAUUAGAAGGAGAAACGCUUUUUAAUUGAUAUAUUAUUGAGGAUCUCUUAAAUCUUUGUCCUCUCGAAGGCUAAGGAAGCCUGAUGUUUUCAAUGUCCAUAAGUGAGCUUCAGGCUUGAAGAAGGCAGGAAGGGAAGGAAGGCAGUAGGGUUAGAGAGGGAUGGACUUCACCACCGGUCUGACUCUCUAAUUAUAUGGUACAUCGUGUACCAACCGAACGAGGUCGGAAGGUCACGGUUGCGAGAGGCACAAAACACGCCAUCGAGAUGUAUCGUAAGAAAAAUUCAGCCACAUCACCAACAGCCAAUGAAAUAUUUACCGAGCGGCCAAUAAUAAUUAUUCUCUCGCUGUCGAGCAGCUCUGUUUUUCUUUUUGGAUAUAUUCAAGCCAGUUAUUAGUUUAUUACAAAAAUAUUUUUUUUUAUUGGCUAUGCAUAAUAAAAUAUAAAACAACAACAAAUAAUUAUAAUUGCAAAAUAAGUUGCAGAUUUAGCUUGGAUGUGCACUCAGAAAGAUCAG